rnacentral:rRNA from 1 species
UGGGAAUAUUGCACAAUGGGCGAAAGCCUGAUGCAGCAACGCCGCGUGAAGGAAGAAGGGUUUCGGCUCGUAAACUUCUAUCAACAGGGACGAAAGAAAUGACGGUACCUGAAUAAGAAGCCCCGGCUAACUACGUGCC